rnacentral:rRNA from 1 species
GGUUAAGCGACUAAGCGUACACGGUGGAUGCCCUGGCAGUCAGAGGCGAUGAAGGACGUGCUAAUCUGCGAAAAGCGUCGGUAAGGUGAUAUGAACCGUUAUAACCGGCGAUGUCCGAAUGGGGAAACCCAGUGCAAUUCGUUGCACUAUCGUUAACUGAAUACAUAGGUUAACGAGGCGAACCGGGGGAACUGAAACAUCUAAGUACCCCGAGGAAAAGAAAUCAACCGAGAUUCCCCCAGUAGCGGCGAGCGAACGGGGAGCAGCCCAGAGUCUGAAUCAGCUUGUGUGUUAGUGGAACGGUCUGGAAAGUCCGACGGUACAGGGUGAUAGUCCCGUACACCAAAAUGCACAGGCUGUGAACUCGAAGAGUAGGGCGGGACACGUGGUAUCCUGUCUGAAUAUGGGGGGACCAUCCUCCAAGGCUAAAUACUCCUGACUGACCGAUAGUGAACCAGUACCGUGAGGGAAAGGCGAAAAGAACCCCGGCGAGGGGAGUGAAAAAGAACCUGAAACCGUGUACGUACAAGCAGUGGGAGCACCUUCGGGUGUGACUGCGUACCUUUUGUAUAAUGGGUCAGCGACUUAUAUUCUGUAGCAAGGUUAACCGUAUAGGGGAGCCGCAGGGAAACCGAGUCUUAACUGGGCGUUAAGUUGCAGGGUAUAGACCCGAAACCCGGUGAUCUAGCCAUGGGCAGGUUGAAGGUUGGGUAACACUAACUGGAGGACCGAACCGACUAAUGUUGAAAAAUUAGCGGAUGACUUGUGGCUGGGGGUGAAAGGCCAAUCAAACCGGGAGAUAGCUGGUUCUCCCCGAAAGCUAUUUAGGUAGCGCCUCGUGAACUCAUCUUCGGGGGUAGAGCACUGUUUCGGCUAGGGGGUCAUCCCGACUUACCAACCCGAUGCAAACUACGAAUACCGAAGAAUGUUAUCACGGGAGACACACGGCGGGUGCUAACGUCCGUCGUGAAGAGGGAAACAACCCAGACCGCCAGCUAAGGUCCCAAAGUCAUGGUUAAGUGGGAAACGAUGUGGGAAGGCACAGACAGCCAGGAUGUUGGCUUAGAAGCAGCCAUCAUUUAAAGAAAGCGUAAUAGCUCACUGGUCGAGUCGGCCUGCGCGGAAGAUGUAACGGGGCUAAACCAUGCACCGAAGCUGCGGCAGCGACACUAUGUGUUGUUGGGUAGGGGAGCGUUCUGUAAGCCUGCGAAGGUGACCUGUGAGGGUUGCUGGAGGUAUCAGAAGUGCGAAUGCUGACAUAAGUAACGAUAAAGCGGGUGAAAAGCCCGCUCGCCGGAAGACCAAGGGUUCCUGUCCAACGUUAAUCGGGGCAGGGUGAGUCGACCCCUAAGGCGAGGCCGAAAGGCGUAGUCGAUGGGAAACAGGUUAAUAUUCCUGUACUUGGUGUUACUGCGAAGGGGGGACGGAGAAGGCUAUGUUAGCCGGGCGACGGUUGUCCCGGUUUAAGCAUGUAGGCUGGUUGUCCAGGCAAAUCCGGAUAAUCAAGGCUGAGGUGUGAUGACGAGGCACUACGGUGCUGAAGUAACAAAUGCCCUGCUUCCAGGAAAAGCCUCUAAGCAUCAGGUAACAUCAAAUCGUACCCCAAACCGACACAGGUGGUCAGGUAGAGAAUACCAAGGCGCUUGAGAGAACUCGGGUGAAGGAACUAGGCAAAAUGGUGCCGUAACUUCGGGAGAAGGCACGCUGGUGUGUAGGUGAAGCCCCUGCGGGUGGAGCUGAGACCAGUCGAAGAUACCAGCUGGCUGCAACUGUUUAUUAAAAACACAGCACUGUGCAAACACGAAAGUGGACGUAUACGGUGUGACGCCUGCCCGGUGCCGGAAGGUUAAUUGAUGGGGUUAUCCGUAAGGAGAAGCUCUUGAUCGAAGCCCCGGUAAACGGCGGCCGUAACUAUAACGGUCCUAAGGUAGCGAAAUUCCUUGUCGGGUAAGUUCCGACCUGCACGAAUGGCGUAAUGAUGGCCAGGCUGUCUCCACCCGAGACUCAGUGAAAUUGAACUCGCUGUGAAGAUGCAGUGUACCCGCGGCAAGACGGAAAGACCCCGUGAACCUUUACUAUAGCUUGACACUGAACAUUGAGCCUUGAUGUGUAGGAUAGGUGGGAGGCUUUGAAGCGUGGACGCCAGUCUGCGUGGAGCCAACCUUGAAAUACCACCCUUUAAUGUUUGAUGUUCUAACGUUGGCCCCUUACCGGGGUUGCGGACAGUGUCUGGUGGGUAGUUUGACUGGGGCGGUCUCCUCCCAAAGCGUAACGGAGGAGCACGAAGGUUAGCUAAUCCUGGUCGGACAUCAGGAGGUUAGUGCAAUGGCAUAAGCUAGCUUGACUGCGAGCGUGACGGCGCGAGCAGGUGCGAAAGCAGGUCAUAGUGAUCCGGUGGUUCUGAAUGGAAGGGCCAUCGCUCAACGGAUAAAAGGUACUCCGGGGAUAACAGGCUGAUACCGCCCAAGAGUUCAUAUCGACGGCGGUGUUUGGCACCUCGAUGUCGGCUCAUCACAUCCUGGGGCUGAAGUAGGUCCCAAGGGUAUGGCUGUUCGCCAUUUAAAGUGGUACGCGAGCUGGGUUUAGAACGUCGUGAGACAGUUCGGUCCCUAUCUGCCGUGGGCGCUGGAGAAUUGAGGGGGGCUGCUCCUAGUACGAGAGGACCGGAGUGGACGCAUCACUGGUGUUCGGGUUGUCAUGCCAAUGGCACUGCCCGGUAGCUAAAUGCGGAAGAGAUAAGUGCUGAAAGCAUCUAAGCACGAAACUUGCCCCGAGAUGAGUUCUCCCUGAGACUUUAAGUCUCCUGAAGGAACGUUGAAGACGACGACGUUGAUAGGCCGGGUGUGUAAGCGCAGCGAUGCGUUGAGCUAACCGGUACUAAUGAACCGUGAGGCUUAACCUU